UAUGGGCAGGCCCACCCGUUUUCCAGGCCAGUCCAACCAUUAUGGGCAUCGCUAGUAACGCAGAUCACGUAUUUGGUGAUGUCCUUGUUGUCUUUAUGUUGUCCUGUCCUUUUUAACUACUUCCUAUACAACACAUGUAACUGAGCGAAUCUCUGAAAUGCUAUUUACCAGUUUAAAAUUGGCUGCCGUCAUUUGAAGAUCACAUUUCUGGCCUCACAUACAUUGUCCAUAGGGCGCCUCUGGUAUAGGUGUUGAGGGUCAUUCCUGGAAUGUAAGGUUGUGCUGUGAUAUCCAUCAGAACUGGUUAGUCAACAGAAGUCGGAAGGCCAAUUCUUUUGCAACUUAACCACAUGAGCUAGACUUAGGCAUUCAACUGAAGAGUUGUAUGCCUACAGCUAAUCAAGUAAACCAGUGAGUUACAUCGUUCACCUAAACAUUCAAAUCCAUUAAAAUAAUUGUUAGGG